AUUGAACGCUGGCGGCAGGCCUAACACCUGCAAGUCGAACGAGGGGCGGACGGGUGAGUAAUGUCUGGGAAACUGCCUGAUGGAGGGGGAUAACUACUGGAAACGGUAGCUAAUACCGCAUACCAUCGGAUGUGCCCAGAUGGGCUUAGCUAGUAGGUGGGGUAACGGCUCACCUAGGCGACGAUCCCUAGCUGGUCUGAGAGGAUGACAAGCCACCCUGGAAAUGAGACAAGGUCUGGACUCCUACGGGAGGAAGCAGUGGGGAAUAUCGCACAAUGGGCGCAAGCCUGAAGAAGCCAUGCCGCGUGUAUGAAGAAGGCCGUCGGGUUGUAAAGUAUUUUCAGCGGGGAGGCGUUACCCGCAGAAGAAGCACCGGCUAACUCCGUGCCAGCAGCCGCGGUAAUAC
rnacentral:rRNA from 1 species